rnacentral:tRNA from 1 species
GCGGGCGUGGCGGAACUGGCAGACGCGCAGGACUUAGGAUCCUGUGGGGCAACCUGUAAGGGUUCAAAUCCCUUCGCCCGCACCA